CAAGCCCCCGGGGCAGGAAAGCCCCACGCUAGGGGAAGGGCUAAGUCGCCUUCGGUCUGCCUAGCGAUGUCAGAAAAGACAGGAACAGAGAGAGGCGUACGGGACAUGUCGGCCGCAGGGCAGCGGGCAGGACCUGCCCCGAAUGGGGGCCCGCAGCAAAGCCGACUCCCGCGGGGGUAACGGGUCCCGGGACGGCGGGGGUAGGAGGAAUGAUCAGCAUUUAUAACGGCGGGGGUAGGAGGAAUGAUCAGCAUUUAUAACGUCGGGGAGGCUCACAGCCUUUCAAAGAGUUUCAGCUGGGCCUUGCUGCAAACCGAUUUUAAGUCUACUCCUUCAAACCGCUGGCAGCCCAUGGGCCCAAGAAGCUGUCCUUGCAAGGCUCCCUGGCACCCACCUGGGGGGACAUGUGCCUGUCUAAACGAGCCCUGGUGCUUGUUAAGAAGGGAAAAGGGGAGUGAAGAGAGGAACAAAUCCAGAUGCAUAUGCUUCUGUACACGCCUGGAUGUAAGUAUACCUAUAUAUCUGCACACUUAUACAUGCAUAUAGAUACAGUUUUAAAUGACAGACUGCUAGAAGAAGAGAUGGACUGUUGUUCGGCCUGAGUGCCUUCACCCCGGCAGAUGAGAAAACAGCACUAACCAAACGAGAGAAGAAAGACCAAGAGGUGCAAAUUACUCCAGGGAAAAGUUAUUUAGACACAAUCUCUAGAUUUACCCAGUGCAAACUGACUCUCAUACUGGGUUUGAUCCAGUUUACCCGCUCCCCUUCUCCAUCCCACCCUGGGGUAAUUCAUCCCUAUUUCGCAUUUUCCUUCUUUGAAGCAUCCUUCUUUCCCGUCGCCCCGCCUGGGAGGGCGUUUUCCGGAACCUGGCGUGGCCGCGGCCCGCUCCGCGACCGCGGAAAGGCCGGUGGAGCGGGGGCUGCCCCCGGGGACGCAAAGUGGCGGCAGGAUCCCUGCCGGGGCUUUCGGGUCCCAGCCUCCGCCUCCCACACUUC
rnacentral:lncRNA from 1 species